CGGGUGGGUGAAAGACCCGAGCUAACAUGGGGUUAGCUCGUUAAAUUACAAUAAAGCCUCGUGCAGUUUGCAGCAAGCUCUCGAAUCCGCCUGGUGAUUGGGGUGACCGCGAACCUGGCCUGAGACCCCGGAUACUUGAGUUUUCGGGGGUCUAACAUUUUGGGGGCUCGUCCGCGAUCACCCUUCACCUGAGUGGAUUCGAUCUUGGAGGUAAGAUGAUUCGAGCUCGAAACUUGUAUAUGUUCAAUGUUCUAUGUUUCUUGUUUAGUCUCUUGCUGUUUUGUUUGGUGCCAUGAUUUGUAUUUGAUCUGCGCAGAAUUUGUAUUUGUAAUUCGGACUUCUGGGGAAGACCCUGAAGUCCUGCCCUGGAUGAAAGUCCGAGGGUUGCUUGAUUUGAUCUGCGCAGAAUUUGUAAUUUGUAUUUGAUCUGCGCAGAAUUUGUAAUUGAACCAUAGGGUAAGCAGACUUGCGAGAACCUUGGUUCCACCCUGGAUGAAAGUCCAAGGUUUGGUUGUAAUUUUGGUUUGGGGCACCAUUUCUUUGCCGCGGUUUGUCCUGUCUAAUGUUUGUGCUGUCUAAUGUGCUGUCAUUUGUGUUAUGUGUUUCUUAAGCAUCUCUUUCUGUCCCACAUUGCCCAUGCACAUGGCAUGCAUGGGUCAGGGGGUCAGGGGUCUUUUCUUCUCUGAGCUCAUGGCGCCACCUCAACUGUUAUCGGCAGAUGCGCCGGAGGACAGACUGCCACUCUGAGGACACCCAGGACCCAGGAGACAUCUGAAUAUCAGUUGCUGACUACAGACUGUUCUAAGACUGCGAGCCCUAGACUUGCUAUGAAUGUGAACCAGUUCAGCUGAUGUGGACACCCCCUGUCUCUACAACAGUGUCUGCUAACCAGAAGCCCCUGAUGGAUUCCCCAUUGCCUAAAUUCCUUUUUGCUUUUGACUAGCAUUUCAACCUUCUGGGGUCCCUAACUUCGUCCCAAAGUCAGCAGGAAGCAGUUUGGAAAAGAAUUUCGCCGUCCAUUUUCCCUGGUUAAAAUGCUAAGUCAAAAGGAACUCCCUUACAUGGGGAUGCCAAUAUCUAUCACUCCCUGAUGGGGAUGCUAGAGAGACAGCAAUUCCAUGAUUGGAAUUUCCAGAAAAGAAAAUGGGGG
rnacentral:lncRNA from 1 species